AGAGUUUGAUCAUGGCUCAGGAUGAACGCUAGCUACAGGCUUAACACAUAGCAAGUCGAGGGGGAAACGACAUCGAAAGCUUGCUUUUGAUGGGCGUCGACCGGCGCACGGGUGAGUAACGCGUAUCCAACCUGCCCACCACUUGGGGAUAACCUUGCGAAAGUAAGACUAAUACCCAAAUGAUAUCUCUAGAGGACAUCUGAAAGAGAUUAAAGAUUUAUCGGUGAUGGAUGGGGAUGCGUCUGAUUAGCUUGUUGGCGGGGUAACGGCCCACCAAGGCAACGAUCAGUAGGGGUUCUGAGAGGAAGGUCCCCCACAUUGGAACUGAGACACGGUCCAAACUCCUACGGGAGGCAGCA
rnacentral:rRNA from 1 species